GUUUCAGCAGCCGCGGUAAUGCGUAGGGUGCAAGCGUUAAUCGGAAUUACUGGGCGUAAAGCGUGCGCAGGCGGUUAUGCAAGACAGAGGUGAAAUCCCCGGGCUCAACCUGGGAACUGCCUUUGUGACUGCAUGGCUAGAGUACGGUAGAGGGGGAUGGAAUUCCGCGUGUAGCAGUGAAAUGCGUAGAUAUGCGGAGGAACACCGAUGGCGAAGGCAAUCCCCUGGACCUGUACUGACGCUCAUGCACGAAAGCGUGGGAAGCAAACAGGAUUAGAUACCCUGGUAGUCCACGCCCUAAACGAUGUCAACUGGUUGUUGGGAGGGUUUCUUCUCAGUAACGUAGCUAACGCGUGAAGUUGACCGCCUGGGGAGUACGGCCGCAAGGUUGAAACUCAAAGGAAUUGACGGGGACCCGCACAAGCGGUGGAUGAUGUGGUUUAAUUCGAUGCAACGCGAAAAACCUUACCUACCCUUGACAUGCCAGGAAUCCUGAAGAGAUUUGGGAGUGCUCGAAAGAGAGCCUGGACACAGGUGCUGCAUGGCCGUCGUCAGCUCGUGUCGUGAGAUGUUGGGUUAAGUCCCGCAACGAGCGCAACCCUUGUCAUUAGUUGCUACGAAAGGGCACUCUAAUGAGACUGCCGGUGACAAACCGGAGGAAGGUGGGGAUGACGUCAGGUCAUCAUGGCCCUUAUGGGUAGGGCUACACACGUCAUACAAUGGCCGGGACAGAGGGCUGCCAACCCGCGAGGGGGAGCUAAUCCCAGAAACCCGGUCGUAGUCCGGAUCGUAGUCUGCAACUCGACUGCGUGAAUUCGGAAUCGCUAGUAAUCGCGGAUCAGCUUGCCGCGGUGAAUACGUUCCCGGGUCUUGUACACACCGCCCGUCAAAC
rnacentral:rRNA from 1 species